UACGGGGGGGGCAAGCGUUGUUCGGAAUUACUGGGCGUAAAGGGCUCGUAGGCGGCCAACUAAGUCAGACGUGAAAUCCCUCGGCUCAACCGGGGAACUGCGUCUGAUACUGGGUGGCUUGAAUCCGGGAGAGGGAUGCGGAAUUCCAGGUGUAGCGGUGAAAUGCGUAGAUAUCUGGAGGAACACCGGUGGCGAAGGCGGCAUCCUGGACCGGUAUUGACGCUGAGGCGCGAAAGCCAGGGGAGCAAACGGG
rnacentral:rRNA from 1 species